UCCACAGUAGCUCAAUCGGCAGAGCAAUCGGCUGUUAACCGAUGGGUUCCAGGUUCGAGUCCUGGCUGUGGAG
rnacentral:tRNA from 1 species